rnacentral:misc_RNA from 1 species
UGUGGGAGCGGGCUUGCUCGCGAUAGCGGUGGGUCAGUCAACCUGUUUACUACUGAUACACCACAAUCGCGAGCAAGCCCGCUCCCACA